rnacentral:rRNA from 1 species
UACGUAGGGGGCGAGCGUUGUCCGGAUUUAUUGGGCGUAAAGAGCUCGUAGGCGGUUUGGUAAGUUGGAUGUGAAAUCUCCAGGCUCAACUUGGAGGGGUCAUUCGAUACUGCCAUGACUAGAGUUCGGUAGGGGAGUGUGGAAUUCCUGGUGGAGCGGUGAAAUGCGCAGAUAUCAGGAGGAACACCAGUGGCGAAGGCGGCUCACUGGCCCGGAACUGACGCUGAGGUGCGAAAGCGUGGGGAGCAAACAGG